rnacentral:tRNA from 1 species
UCUCUGGUGGCUCAGAUGGUAAAGCAUCCGCCUGCGAUGUGGGAGACCCAGGUUCGAUUCCUGGGUCGGGAA